rnacentral:rRNA from 1 species
UAGGGAAUCUUCGGCAAUGGGGGGAACCCUGACCGAGCAACGCCGCGUGAGUGAAGAAGGUUUUCGGAUCGUAAAGCUCUGUUGUUAAGGAAGAACGAGUGUGAGAAUGGAAAGUUCAUACUGUGACGGUACUUAACCAGAAAGGGACGGCUAACUACGUGCCAGCAGCCGCGGUAAUACGUAUGGAGCGAGCGUUGUCCGGAAUUAUUGGGCGUAAAGGGUACGCAGGCGGUUUAAUAAGUCGAAUGUUAAAGAUCGGGGCUCAACCCCGUAAAGCAUUGGAAACUGAUAAACUUGAGUAGUGGAGAGGAAAGUGGAAUUCCUAGUGUAGUGGUGAAAUACGUAGAUAUUAGGAGGAAUACCAGUAGCGAAGGCGACUCUCUGGUCUGUAACUGACGCUGAGGCUCGAAAGCGUGGGUAGCAAACAGG